rnacentral:rRNA from 1 species
GAUUUCUGGUUUGACGCGUUUGGCCCUCCCGGGUUUCCACUCGGUGUGCGUGCCGAUGCGCGUCUGCCAUCCUUGUAGAGAACGUUUCUACCCUUCACUGGGCCGGAUUCGCGAUCUACAUCUUUUACUUUGAAAAAAUUAGAGUGUUUAAAGCAGGCUUGUGCUAUGAAUACAUUAGCAUGGAAUAAUAAUUUAGGACUUUGGCCCUAUUUUGUUGGUUUCUAGGACUGAAGUAAUGAUUGAUAGGGAUAGUUGGGGGUGCUCGAAUUCAGCGGCCAGAGGUGAAAUUCUUGGAUUCGCUGAAGACGAACUCAUGCGAAAGCAUU